rnacentral:misc_RNA from 1 species
AAGUCGUAACAAGGUUUCCGUAGGUGAACCUGCGGAAGGAUCAUUAUUGAAGUUCUAAGGGAUUACUGUUGCUGGCUUUUAACAAGGCAUGUGCACGUAUUCUCUCUUCUCUUCAUCCACCUGUGCACUUUUUGUAGAAGUUCUUUUGGAAUUGGCAUGUUGAGGGUUUCGACUCUUAUACUGUUAUUCUAAAGGCUUCUAUGUUUUAUACACCAGUUAAGCAUGUUUUAGAAUGUCUUUUAUUGGGACUUAAUUGGCCCUUUAAACUUUGUACAACUUUCAGCAACGGAUCUCUUGGCUCUCC